rnacentral:snRNA from 1 species
GGGCUAGCUUCAGCAGCACAUAUACUAAAACUGAAAUAAUACAAGGAAGAAUAGCAUGGCCCCUGUGCAAGGAUACAGUGUUCCACAUUUUU